AGCGAACGCUGGCGGCAGGCCUAACACAUGCAAGUCGAACGAACUCUUCGGAGUUAGUGGCGGACGGGUGAGUAACACGUGGGAACGUGCCUUUUGGUUCGGAAUAACUCAGGGAAACUUGUGCUAAUACCGAAUGUGCCCUUCGGGGGAAAGAUUUAUCGCCAUUAGAGCGGCCCGCGUCUGAUUAGCUAGUUGGUGAGGUAACGGCUCACCAAGGCGACGAUCAGUAGCUGGUCUGAGAGGAUGACCAGCCACACUGGGACUGGGACACGGCCCAGACUCCUACGGGAGGCAGCAGUGGGGAAUCUUGCGCAAUGGGGGAAAGCCUGACGCAGCCAUGCCGCGUGAAUGAUGAAGGUCUUAGGAUUGUAAAAUUCUUUCACCGGGGACGAUAAUGACGGUACCCGGAGAAGAAGCCCCGGCUAACUUCGUG
rnacentral:rRNA from 1 species